AGCUCUUAAAUAAAUCAGUGUCACAGCUCUACUUAUUUAGAUGAUAGCAGGAAAAUCCAUCUUCGAGGUGUGAGGGCACUUCGAUCCAAAGACAGGAAGAGAAGAGCGCCCCAUCGUAAACCAGAACCCUGGCCCAUGUGGAACAGUGGGGACUCAAAAGGAUAGGUCCUGUCUCCUGGAUCAUAACUCAUUCCAUCCACAAAGAAGUCUUUCGAUAACAGAGACUUCAGUUCCACUUCAUAAGAUCUGAAUAUCAAGACUGACAAACUCACUUGAAGAUAACCUCUUCAUUUGAAAAAAAUUUAGACUAUUAAGGCACUAUAUCUGUAGAAAAAGACUUUCUGCCCUUCUAGACAAGUUCAUGAAUUCAGAAGAAAUCUCCUUCUCUCAGAUGUGGGCUCAUGACAACCUUGGUACCCCAACUAGAUGUCUCAGGCAGUGUUGUGAGAACAGCUAAUUGGCAGAUUCCCAACUCAAGAAGUGAAACUAUCUUCCCACCCACAACCAUUCCUAUGUGUUCUGAAAAAUUUUAGAAGAUAAAAGAAAGGUGAAAAACGUCAGGAACAUCACAACCCAAAGAGAUUCAGUUUAA